AUUGAACGCUGGCGGCAUGCCUUACACAUGCAAGUCGAACGGUAACGGGCCUUCGGGUGCCGACGAGUGGCGAACGGGUGAGUAAUGUAUCGGAACGUACCUUUCAGUGGGGGAUAACGCAGCGAAAGUUACGCUAAUACCGCAUAUUCUGUGAGCAGGAAAGCAGGGGAUCGCAAGACCUUGCGCUGAUUGAGCGGCCGAUAUCAGAUUAGCUAGUUGGUGAGGUAAAGGCUCACCAAGGCUACGAUCUGUAGCGGGUCUGAGAGGAUGAUCCGCCACACUGGAACUGAGACACGGUCCAGACUCCUACGGGAGGCAGCAGUGGGGAAUUUUGGACAAUGGGGGCAACCCUGAUCCAGCCAUGCCGCGUGAGUGAAGAAGGCCUUCGGGUUGUAAAGCUCUUUCGGCCGGGAAGAAAUCGUAUCAGCUAAUACCUGGUGCGGAUGACGGUACCGGCAUAAGAAGCACCGGCUAACUACGUGCCAGCCGCCGCCGUAAGAC
rnacentral:rRNA from 1 species